rnacentral:rRNA from 1 species
AUUGAACGCUGGCGGCAGGCCUAACACAUGCAAGUCGAACGAGUGGCGGACGGGUGAGUAAUGCUUGGGAAUCUAGCUUAUGGAGGGGGAUAACUACGGGAAACUGUAGCUAAUACCGCGUACCAUAGGAUGAGCCCACGUGGGAUUAGGUAGUUGGUGAGGUAAAGGCUCACCAAGCCGACGAUCCCUAGCUGGUCUGAGAGGAUGAGCAGCCACACUGGGACGAAGACACGGCCCAGACUCCUACGGGGGGCAGCAUUGGGGAAUAUUGCACAAUGGGCGCAAGCCUGAGACAGCCAUGCCGCGUGUAUGAAGAGGGCCUUCGGGUUGUAAAGUACUUUCAUUCGGGAGGCGUUACCGACAGAAGAAGCGCCGGCUAACUCCGUGCCAGCCGCCGCGGUAAUUC